AUUGCUUCUCGGCCUUUUGGCUAAGAUCAAGUGUAGCAUCUAUUCUUAUCAGUUUAAUGUCUAAUAGAUACAUCCUCCAUGCAAGGACAAUACAUUAAGUGGAUUUUUGAAGCUAGGAUUUGGAAUGAGAGCUUGUUUCAUCCAUUCCAUAGAUUGACCUGGUAUUGCAGUAGCUCUAAGAAUGGUGGGGGAAAA
ensembl:snRNA U2 U2 spliceosomal RNA